rnacentral:lncRNA from 1 species
AUGAGCAUAAGGUUGUCACGGUUGCUGUGGCGACGACACGUUGCUGGGGCAACGGCAGCGAUGCAGAGCCUGUGGAGUGUAAUCAGGGGUCAGGCUGACGAUGGAGCCGGGAUGUGUGGGGGCUGUGGGAAGGGGCAGCCAGCCCCAGCGCUCCCACCAGCCCCACGCUGCUCCCCAAGCCCCAAACCAGCACCCACAGCUGGGAAAAGCAGCGCUGCUCCCCUGUCACAGGCACCCCGAGGCAGCAGCGGCGCUGCCUCCACGCCUUGGCACGUGCAUGGCCCAGGGAUGUGCUGUGCCCCGCGCAAGCCUCACCCACUAAUGGGACAGCUCACAGAAGCCAUCCCGGAGCUCAGCACCUCCCCUCUCCAACUUUCCCAUCCCCUCUGGGGCUGCCUGGGCCUCUGGCCCCUCACCCCACCCCAGCAUCCACCCAAACCAAGGGUGGCUCAGGCAGGACAGAGACUGUGGGGGCAACAACUGCACCUCCUCCACCGCCUCUCCCAAAGGGAUGUGAGGACACCAAGGUGGUUUUCAGAUUUUGAAGACAGCUUGGUACUGGGCUGCUGGCAAGAGGAGUGACCUAUGGGUUUUCCUUUGCUGCCAAGACCGAGGAUUGGGCUGAAG